rnacentral:rRNA from 1 species
UACAGAGGGUGCAAGCGUUGUUCGGAAUUACUGGGCGUAAAGGGCUCGUAGGCGGCCAACUAAGUCAGACGUGAAAUCCCUCGGCUUAACCGGGGAACUGCCUCUGAUACUGGAUGGCUUGAGAUUGGGAGAGGGAUGCGGAAUUCCAGGUGUAGCGGUGAAAUGCGUAGAUAUCUGGAGGAACACCGGUGGCGAAGGCGGCAUCCUGGACCAACACUGACGCUGAGGAGCGAAAGCCAGGGGAGCAAACGGG